rnacentral:rRNA from 1 species
AUUGAACGCUGGCGGCAGGCCUAACACAUGCAAGUCGAACGAGUGGCGGACGGGUGAGUAAUGUCUGGGAACCUGCCUGAUGGAGGGGGCUAACUACUGGAAACGGUAGCUACUACCGCAUACCAUCAGAUGUGCCCAGAUGGGAUUAGCUAGUCGGUGGGGUAACGGCUCACCUAGGCGACGAUCCCUAGCUGGUCUGCGAGGAUGACCAGCCACACGGGAACUGAGACACGGUCCAGACUCCUACGGGAGGCAGCAGUGGGGAAUAUUCGACAAUGGGCGCAAGCCUGAUGCAGCCAUGCCGCGUGUAUGAAGAAGGCCUUCGGGUUGUAAAGUACUUUCAGCGGGGAGGCGUUACCCGCAGAAGAAGCACCGGCUAACUACGUGCCAGCAGCCGCGGUAAUAC